GGUCCAUAUCACAUUGAAACACUAGUUAUCAUAUGAUCACCAAAGUUAAGCAACAUUGUGCUCAGUCUGUACCUAGAUCGGUGACCACUUGGGUAUACCAGGUGUUGUAAG